rnacentral:rRNA from 1 species
UGGGGAAUAUUGCACAAUGGGGGAAACCCUGAUGCAGCGACGCCGCGUGAACGAAGAAGGUAUUCGUAUCGUAAAGUUCUGUCCUAUGGGAAGAUAAUGACAGUACCAUAGAAGAAAGCUCCGGCUAAAUACGUGCCAGCAGCCGCGGUAAUACGUAUGGAGCGAGCGUUGUCCGGAAUUAUUGGGCGUAAAGGGUACGCAGGCGGUUUAAUAAGUCGAAUGUUAAAGAUCGGGGCUCAACCCCGCAAAGCAUUGGAAACUGAUAAACUUGAGUAGUGGAGAGGAAAGUGAAUUCCUAGUGUAGUGGUGAAAUACGUAGAUAUUAGGAGGAAUACCAGUAGCGAAGGCGACUUUCUGGACACAAACUGACGCUGAGGUACGAAAGCGUGGGGAGCAAACAGG